AGUGAACGCUGGCGGUAGGCCUAACACAUGCAAGUCGAACGGCAGCACAGUAAGAGCUUGCUCUUACGGGUGGCGAGUGGCGGACGGGUGAGGAAUACAUCGGACUCUACUUUUUCGUGGGGGAUAACGUAGGGAAACUUACGCUAAUACCGCAUACGACCUACGGGUGAAAGCAGGGGAUCUUCGGACCUUGCGCGAUUGAAUGAGCCGAUGUCGGAUUAGCUAGUUGGCGGGGUGAAGGCCCACCAAGGCGACGAUCCGUAGCUGGUCUGAGAGGAUGAUCAGCCACACUGGAACUGAGACACGGUCCAGACUCCUACGGGAGGCAGCAGUGGGGAAUAUUGGACAAUGGGCGCAAGCCUGAUCCAGCCAUACCGAGUGGGUGAAGAAGGCCUUCGGGUUGUAAAGCCCUUUUGUUGGGAAAGAAAAGCAGCAGGUUAAUACCCCGCUGUUCUGACGGUACCCAAAGAAUAAGCACCGGCUAACUUCGUG
rnacentral:rRNA from 1 species